AGAGGCCCCGCCAGGACCUGCAGCCCUGGGCGCCCCAGCAGCCCGGCCCUGCUCAGCGCAGCUCUGGGUUGGAACUUGCACUUUCCAGUAACUCGGACCUCCCCCCGGCCGCCUUCCCAGGCGCCACCGGGCCCAGCAGAUCGUCACCGUCCAGGUGCAGGGUGGGGGUGUGUGAAAGUCAGGCCUGGGACCCGGGCAAGUUGCUGCCGUGCCCUCUGGCUUCCCGGGGGACAUCCUUCACCUUUGUGCGCCCAAACCCUCUGUGCUGCGGUUCCAACCCCCCUCCACAUUCCCGCCUGCUCCUCCGGGCCUGCCCGUUCCCUCUGCCUUCCUGGGAACCUCCCUCUAUCUCCGCAUCUUCCGCCGCUCCCUUCCCUGCGGCAGCCGGCGGGCUCCGACUCUCGCUCUUCAGGGAACACCGCCCUUGGCGCCACGCCCACCUCCACCCGCGGCCACCUUCCCUCCCUCCCACCGCCAGACCUUCAAGACAGGAUCUACCCCGGGCGGCCCCCAGCACAGGUCUCAGCCCCCUCCAGACUGGGGUUGUCGCCACCCUCCACUGAAAUGGCGGCAGCCAGCUCCCUCCUGCCGCAGCCGGUGGCAGCCAGCUCCAGGCCUGGCCGGCCCCGCCCACCCUGUGUCUCGAGUGGCACCCACGGCGCUGUCCCUGUCCCGCCUGUCUUCUCGUGACCUCAUCCGGCUCCAGACUCUCACAUGUUUACGCCUUCAGCCCUGCCCAGCCCUGGACCCCAAGUCCCCUCCAAUAUUUCUUUUUCCUUUCUUGUAUUUUUAUUUAUUUAUUUAUUUAUUUAUUGAGACAGUUUCGCUCUUGUCGCCCAGGCUGGAGUGCAGUGGCGCGAUCUCGGCUCACCGCAACCUCCGUCUCCCCGGUUCAAGCGAUUCUCCUGCCUCAGCCUCCCAAGUAGCUGGGAUUACAGGCGUGUGCCACCACGCCCGGCGAAUGUUGUAUUUUCAGUAGAGACGGGGUUUCAGCAUGUUGGUCAAGCUGGUCUCUAACUCUUGAUCUCAAGUGAACCACCAGCCUCAGCCUCCCAAAGUGCUGGGAUUACAGGCGUGAGCCACCGCGCACGGCUAUCCCUUCCAAUAUUUCCGAGGCCAGCUGCCCAGAGAAGGAGGGCUGGGUGGAGAGGACCGUGCCAGCAGCAGUAGGCCUGGGCCAGGAGACAGGCACGCACCUCCGCGGUCUCUGGCGAGUCUAUGUCCACACAGCGGCAGGACCUCCACCCCCAGCCACCUGCAGCAGCCCCACAUCUCCACCGGGUCACCCUGCUGACAUCAAGAGUGCCUCCCGCAAUGUCCCAACCCAUGAGGGCUUCUUGGAGCUGAACCAGGGCACCGGCCACUUCUGGAGGGGGGCUGCUCGUGACUUCCGACCUCUGUCUCGCUAGUUGGCAUGAGAAGACUGGACUCCUUCUGCAGGCCUCAGGGCAGAGGCAGAUGUCAGCCCCCAGGGAUGUCACUGCCAGAACCCCAGAUGCCCCAAGCCAUCUGGACUCCCCCUGUGCAGUAUCUCUGCUACAAUAAAAUGUACCCAGAUCUGAGUCCUCUCACCUGGGCGACUGCCAAUGUCCCCUGCGGCCCUAUACCCCGCCCCCAGGAGCCCAGAGGAUCUUUCUUUUUAAAGAUAUUCAGACCUCACAGAUAAGUCUGCCCUGACCAGCCCCUCCCCAGUUCCCAGGCCCUAUCCUGACAACGGCCACAACUUCAGAGCAGCUGAAACCUGCUGUGAGUGAAAAAUGAGAAGCUGUUGUUUUAAUUUUACUUUCUCUGAUUACUAAUGAGGUUAUUUCUUCUCUGC
rnacentral:lncRNA from 1 species